AAUAGAUACCCCGGUAGUCCACGCCGUAAACGAUGAGUGCUAAGUGUUAGAGGGUUUCCGCCCUUUAGUGCUGCAGCUAACGCAUUAAGCACUCCGCCUGGGGAGUACGGCCGCAAGGCUGAAACUCAAAGGAAUUGACGGGGGCCCGCACAAGCGGUGGAGCAUGUGGUUUAAUUCGAAGCAACGCGAAGAACCUUACCAGGUCUUGACAUCCUCUGCCAACCCUAGAGAUAGGGCGUUCCCCUUCGGGGGACAGAGUGACAGGUGGUGCAUGGUUGUCGUCAGCUCGUGUCGUGAGAUGUUGGGUUAAGUCCCGCAACGAGCGCAACCCUUGAUCUUAGUUGCCAGCAUUCAGUUGGGCACUCUAAGGUGACUGCCGGUGACAAACCGGAGGAAGGUGGGGAUGACGUCAAAUCAUCAUGCCCCCUUAUGACCUGGGCUACACACGUGCUACAAUGGAUGGUACAAAGAGCUGCGAACCCGCGAGGGUAAGCCAAUCUCAUAAAGCCAUUCUCAGUUCGGAUUGUAGG
rnacentral:rRNA from 1 species